CUCGUAACUCAGCAUCUAUUCAUUUUUCAAAAUAUCCUCCCGAUUCCGUGUCUAGGAAACUUUUGGCUUUAGUGCGCACGAUUCAAUUGAAUUCAAUUGCCUUUGAUUGCUAUUGGCAACACGAUGCAGCUGGCCCGAGUGCCUCUGUGGAUCUAUCUGCUAAUUAAAGCAACUGCAAAUUGCGGCUAAACACUGGGCAAUUCUGUAAUAAUGCGCCAUAAGAACGGCCAACCCAGCUCCGGCCGCUAGCUCUCGCUUUCAAAGGCCGCUAAACAAGACUACAAUUUAUCAGCAAUAAAUUUGCGUUUGCACAGUGGCAAUGCUUUAUGCAUGAAACGCACGAACGGCGGGGACAACAGCAAAGUGUGGCAGAGUGGCAAAGUUGCAAGUCGCAAGUGGCAAGUGGGCGAUGUGGCACGCACAGCAAACAAAAAUGCAAACAUUGCAAUUUUAAGCGGCGACUUGUAUCUCUGAUUGCUCGCGAUCUGCAUUUUAAUUUAAAUAAAUUGUAUCUUGGGCACAU